CAGAAGACAGCGAUAGAAUGGUUCCCCUUACCCAGUGCAAGAGACCAACACCCCAAACCAAGAAACUGGAAGCAGCAAUUGGAAUAGGAAUCCUCUCAUGUAGCAAUCUGAACUUCAAGCCCCAUGAUACUUUGCUCCAGCCAGCACUUGCAUUUCGAAGCUGGCAUGAUGGCAUCAUGGUGUUGAAUAUCAUCAGCAGAUUCAACUCAACCCAUUAUGAGUGCUUAAAGGCACAGAUAUUCAGAGGCUUGAUUUGAUUAGGAAGUAAAUGUAUCUAUAUGAUCUGUGUAGAGGUAUUUGUAUUGCUUGGCUCUUUAAUUACAACACCAGCUGUGUACUUAGUGCUUGAAAUAAGAUACAGAAAUGUUAGGUACAUUUUCUCCAGGGUAUAAAAAUUGCCUUAGUGUUUGCUGUAUCUGACAGGAUUUCUGGGAAACAAUCUCUUGCUCUGGACAGCUGAAUUGAAAUCUUCAGCCUUUUGGAGUCAAUGGAUUGCUUUCUUUACUACAUCAGUCUUGUACUUAUGUGACUGGUUUCAGUGUGGGCAAUCUAAAAAUGCCUCCUCCUAGAUUCAGCAGAUGCUAAUUCAGUUUCCCACUACAGCAAGUCACAUUUGGUAUGUGUGCACCAUCUUCAUACAAGGCUAUUCCAGAAGGUGUGACUUCUCAUCAAACAUACUCCUAAUAAUUCUGGUGACAGUGGGGUCCAGCCAUCACUGAACAUUUUGGAACCCCCCACUUAGAUACUCUGGAUGCCAAGUAAGCAAUAGCAGAUACAGAAUUUGAUAAAGAGGUUACAUGCUAUUUGUGUCAUGUUGCAAGCGAAACCUCUGCUGUUAGUAAUAGGUAGUAUAACACCUGCUAGAAGUAAGCAGCUGUGUGCUUAGUUUUUUCACUUUAUCAAGAGAAAUGUGUGUUUGUAGCCACAGGCAAUUGAACUAACUGUAAAUUUCUGCUCCAAUAGCUUGGCUUAAAUAAAGGUUGACAGGAUUAUUGACUACUAAUCUUAUAAUACAUACCUUCCUAAAGGACCUGAAUUCUCAUUUUAAUGGUGUCAACAUUUUUUUUGUUCAAGUCUAGCAAGCCUGGUAGUGAGGGGUCUGACUGACCAUGUGAAACCUGGUUGUAAGUUUUAAGUAGGACUGUUUCUGCAUUACUCACAAGUGGGAAACUGUUUCAGCUUGCUUUGCUUCUGGGAGGAGAGAUUUCAGAUAGCUACAGAACUCCUUGCUGACUUUAAUGUGCUCUCAGAAUCAACUUCUGCCCCAAACUGUGGCUUUUUAGAAGUUCUGCAAAACUCUAGGUUAUAUUGCUGGCUGUGC